CAGAUUUCAAGUCUUGAGUAAAAAUACCAUCAGGGGAAUGGGCCCUAUUGUGUUCACACAUUCAGAACCUGUUGUUCAAGGAAUCCCCUAAAGGAAUUUAUUUCUUUACUAUUUCUGAAUAUGAUUCCGUAUUUGGCGUUAUGUGUUUGAGUGCCUGGUAUGAGGACUGGGAAGGACUUGAACGAAAGAGAACAGGAAACUCAAAUGAAAAAUGUGAUUAGGUAUAUGUAACAUUUCCCUGGUCUGUCAGAUGUGAGAUGCUAAGAACUCUCAGCCAAGAUAUUACUCAUGAAUCAUAUUUCUUAUUGCCAGUCUGGUUACACCCUUGGUGGGAGAUACACAGAGUAAACACGGAUUUUGUGUGUGCAUGUUUUUUUAACUUCUUGUGGACAAAAAUACUUGCAUUAAUUUUGUCCAAAUGUUUUUAGAGAGAACAAAUAGUACUAUCAUUGCUAGGAACAGUUAGAAAAUAAAAUCACAGUUGCUUUCAUAAAUAAAGUUAUUUCAUCAAGGCAAAGAGACAGCUUCCACUUAAUAAGAAGAGCUCUUGUUUUCAAUGUAUGUGUCUCGAAUUCAAAUUUCACCUGAUGCUUGUUAUUGGAUCUUUUUGGCAAGUUGCUUUAACCUUACUGGAUGUCAGUUUCUUAAUCUAUAAAUUAGGCAUUGUACCACUUGUGGUAGGAAAUAAAUGAAUACAUUUUGGUGAAGAUAACUAGCAUCGUACUUGGCUGUGGAUCUUAACUCUAUUUCCUAGACAAAAACUGACGCAGAGGCAGGAAACGGGAGUUCCUUAGGGAUUAACCCCCGCCCCAGUUGCUAAUUGCCAAGGCUGUCCCUAUAGACUCUUAAAAAAAUGAUUCAAGGGCAGAAUGGCUGGUGUUUUCCACUUGGAAAAACUGAUUAUAAAUCAUGUGUAGAAAAGUUUGUGUGUGAAGAAUUAACACGCAGAGAACAAAGCUGCAAAAACCUGAUUGGCUAGAGUAGCCUAUGGAUGAGCAGGGAAGUCCAUUCAUGUAUUUUUUUCUGUUGUUGAAAAUCUUAAAAAAAAAAAUGUGCUUAGUCCUUCCUGAUCCUCUUACUCCCUACAACCCUGCCACUCUGCAGCUUGAUUAGGGUUCCCUGCUGUACUUUCUUUCCCCUAGUAUCUUAUCAGUACUUCCCCGGUAUCACAUGCCACACCUGCAUCACACCAUGGACUCUAAGCUCUGUGAAAUCAGAUAUCCUGAAAGAGCUGUCAUUUCACAACAAAUUAAAUGCUACAUGUGCUAGUUGUUGAUAUAAACUGCUGUAUCCCAGGGAUCCACCCAGAGCAACAGUAGCUGACAUUUUACACUUUACUCUUGAUUCGGAAUGUUAUAGGGCAGAAGGCAUCAUCCUGAACCAUAACUCCAUAGAGAUAAAGGCAGAUUAUGUCAAAGUUGUAAUGACUGAAAGAUACUAAUCGAAGGUUGCCUUUUUUUUUUUUAAUUAAAGCCAAAUCUAAGUUAUCGAAUACUACAGAACCACCUUGGUAUUCCCAGUGUGAUUUUCUGUUGAUGGAAACCAUGGGUAAGCUUCUCUGAGGACUGGAAGAAGCUCAGAUUUAUUUUGUUACUAAAAACUGCACAGUUGAUUUUGACAUAAUAAAGAAACCAGUUUUAUCUCCCCACCCCAUCCCCUUAUUUUUCCCUAAUAGUGGAUCUGAGGGAAGUUGACUGGUUUGGCUUUUCCCUCUCUGAGUCAGGUGCUGUUUCCUUAUAGUUUAUCAUAUAAUAUGUGGUAAGUUAUCAUCACUGGCCACCUUAGGGCCAGCCUCCUCCUCAAGAGGAUGGAGGACUCGAUCCAGGCUUUAUUUUGUUUUGACCAUUCAAACAGUCACAGAUAAUAAAACAAAUAAAAACCAAAGAACCCAGAAAACUUUCAGCCAAA